rfam:Hanseniaspora opuntiae strain AWRI3578 Hanseniaspora_opuntiae_AWRI3578_scaffold6, whole genome shotgun sequence.
UCCGUUAUAGUGUAGGGGUUAUCAUUUCGCCUUCUCACGGCGACGACCCGGGUUCGAUUCCCGGUAACGGAA